AGUGUGAUUGCUGGAUCAUAUGGUAAGAAUAUGUUAGCUUUGAAAGAACUUGCUAGACUGUUUUCCAAAGUGGCUGUUCUAUUUUGCAUUCCCACCAGCAGU
rnacentral:pre_miRNA from 1 species